UACAGAGGGUGCAAGCGUUAAUCGGAAUUACUGGGCGUAAAGCGCAGGUAGGAGGUUUGGUAAGUCUAUUGUGAAAGCUCCCGGCUUAACUGGGAGAGGUCAAUGGAAACUACCAGGCUGGAGUGCGGUAGAGGUAGCUGGAAUUCCCGGUGUAGCGGUGAAAUGCGUAGAUAUCGGGAGGAAUACCUAUGGCGAAAGCAGGCUACUGGACCGUCACUGACUCUGAUCUGCGAAAGCUAGGGGAGCAAACAGG
rnacentral:rRNA from 1 species